AACGCUGGCGGCGUGCCUAACACAUGCAAGUCGAACGAGAAAUCCCGAGCUUGCUUGGGAGAGUAAAGUGGCGCACGGGUGAGUAACGCGUGGGUAACCUACCUUUGAAUCUGGAAUAACCAGCCGAAAGGCUGACUAAUACCGGAUAUGGUUUUUUAGGCUUAGGCUUUUUAAAUUAAAGGUGACCUCUUCAUGAAAGUUGCCGUUCAUAGAUGGGCCCGCGUACCAUUAGCUAGUUGGUGGGGUAAUGGCCUACCAAGGCGACGAUGGUUAGCUGGUCUGAGAGGAUGAUCAGCCACACUGGAACUGGAACACGGUCCAGACUCCUACGGGAGGCAGCAGUGAGGAAUUUUGCGCAAUGGGGGAAACCCUGACGCAGCAACGCCGCGUGAGCGAAGAAGGCCCUCGGGUCGUAAAGCUCUGUCAAGUGGGAAAAAAAUCUUUUGAUCAAUAGUCAAAAGACUUGAUGGUACCACUGGAGGAAGCACCGGCUAACUCCGUGCCAGCAGCCGCGGUAAUACGGAGGGUGCAAGCGUUGUUCGGAUUUACUGGGCGUAAAGAGCGUGUAGGCGGUUUAGCAAGUCAGAUGUGAAAGCCCUGGGCUUAACCCGGGAAGUGCAUUUGAAACUGCUUCACUAGAGUAUGGGAGAGGAGAUUGGAAUUCCUGGUGUAGAGGUGAAAUUCGUAGAUAUCAGGAGGAACACCCGUGGCGAAAGGCGAUUCUCUGGACCAAUACUGACGCUGAGACGCGAAAGCGUGGGGAGCAAACAGGAUUAGAUACCCUGGUAGUCCACGCCGUAAACGAUGAGAACUAGGUGUAGUGGGUAUUGACCCCUGCUGUGCCGAAGUUAACGCAUUAAGUUCUCCGCCUGGGGAGUACGGCCGCAAGGCUAAAACUCAAAGGAAUUGACGGGGGCCCGCACAAGCGGUGGAGCAUGUGGUUUAAUUCGACGCAACGCGAAGAACCUUACCUGGGUUUGACAUCCUCUGACCGUCUGGGAAACCAGAUUUUUCCGGCUUUGUCGGAACAGAGUGACAGGUGCUGCAUGGCUGUCGUCAGCUCGUGUCGUGAGAUGUUGGGUUAAGUCCCGCAACGAGCGUAACCCUUGUCUUUAGUUGCCAUUAUUAAGUUAGGCACUCUAAAGAGACUGCCUCGGUUAACGGGGAGGAAGGUGGGGAUGACGUCAAGUCCUCAUGGCCUUUAUAUCCAGGGCUACACACGUGCUACAAUGGGCUGUACAAAGGGUUGCUAUCCCGCGAGGGGGCGCUAAUCCCAAAAAGCAGUUCUCAGUUCGGAUUGAAGUCUGCAACUCGACUUCAUGAAGGUGGAAUCGCUAGUAAUCGUGGAUCAGCAUGCCACGGUGAAUACGUUCCCGGGCCUUGUACACACCGCCCGUCA
rnacentral:rRNA from 1 species